GCAGACCGGUCGCCCUGGAACCUCCCAGCUUUUAAUUUUGGAAACCUUGAUGUGAAAUUUCAAUAAGACUUCCAGUUUAUAUUCCUGAGACAGAAACUUGGAGAAGAGUAAUAAGAAGAAUGAAUGCUUCUCUGGUAAAUGCUCCCCAGGUCAGUGUCCUGUCCGUAUUUUUUUGAAACUUGCUUUCUUUAUUUAAACCAUUUGAAACUUUAGUUUUUACUUAUAAUGGGACAAGUACAGACUUGUCCAAUUAUAUUUUUGCUGAGUUUUAUACUGUGAGGGCAUAAAUUUCCAAGGAUCGAUGACCUGCAGUUCUGAAAGAGAAUGUAUUGUGAUUGAUGCUCAAAGAAUAUGUUUAUGGCUAAUUUCUACAUUGGAUGGACUUGUGUCCUUUAAUAUUUCUGGGGAUAGAAGGUGUCCUAUGUCACAUAAUUUGUAAUAAGUCAGGUUUCCAGAAACAACCUUGUGAAUGUAGAUCUGCAAAUACAUGAAUACUGACAUCACUGAGCAAUGUAUGGAAGAAAAAAAUUUAUGGAACUGUAGAAUUAGAAGACAUUCACUGUCUUGAAACCUGAUAGUAAAUAUUUUACCUCCCUAGAGACAUAGAUGAUGGAAGGAAUAUGUGACUUUCUAUCACCAUAACAUUGAUGUGUUUGUGAGGAGAUGCAGAUUGCAGUAUUCUUGUAUCUCUUUUCAGCAUUUUAUGUCACAUAGUCAUUUUGGGUUUGUUGACACUUGAAAUCUGUCUCAGAAGAGAAAUUGCAUAGUGCACAGUGUGGUCAGUUCUCAAUAUACAGAUGAUUAUUUUCUUCUUCUCUUUUGUUUCAUUUUUUAGAAGUAGUAUAAACACUACUGUGUGAACCUUUGUAUUGCAGCACAUGCCAUAUAUUAGUAAAUAUUUUCUGGAAAAUAUUAUCUUGGUACUAUGCAUAAGCCAUCAAAUUUUAAGCAUAAAUGAAUAUCCCUCUUAAAUUGUUUUCUUCUUUAGCAAAAGAAGAAUGUUUCAUCUACCCUAUGUUUUCUCUCCCCCAGUCUAUGUAUUACAUAGUUGAAAACUCUGACGGGCUGUGACAAUGCUUCUUUACAAUAGUAUUUUAUUCAAGUACAUAAGUGUUCAUCUUGUUAUUUUUAUAUACACUGAAUGAUACAUUAUGCUCCUUACAUCCUGAUUUCCAAAUCCAGCCCUUGGGACUGAAGUUACACAUGAUAAUAAGUGCGAUGUAUGUAGAAACAAUAGAUGAUCAAGUUAAAAUUACAAGAUUAAAAAUUUAUAGUUAAGUAAGUCUCAUGAGUAAUAAUGUUUUUAAAAAUUCAUGUAGAAUUAAUAUAAUUCUCAUUUUAAAAGCUCAAUUUGAUCAAAAAAUUAUUCUACUUCAAUUGAAUACAUUGUCACAUAUGACAUUUAUUUACACAUACAUAACUAAUUAUUAUGUAGUAAAAAAUCAUAUGUAAUUUAUGACAUUGUUAUUGUCUAUUACAUAUAUCAACUUUAAGAAAAGUUUCAAUAAUUAUAUGCUAUCUCUAAUAUUGGCUUUUCUAUUUACUGUCAUGAAUAUAGUCUCAUAACAUAACUUCACAAAGUAUUUGAUUCUGUGUGUGUCUUUUGGAAUGUUGGCUAUGUUCACUGAUGUUACACACCCUUUAUGUUUAAAGAAAAAAUGUGACUUCUAAUUGAUCCAAUAAUUCUGCAUUUCAUAUUAUACGUCUUUGUUCUAGAAAGGGUACAACUUUGUACCUUGGUCUCAGGAUAUCAACUGAAAAUUUUAGAAUAGAGUCAUGUUGGGACCCAUCUACAGGCAGGACUGAUACAGUGUCCCUAGUUGAGCAAGAAUGAGAGUUGUACAAUUUAGAAGUACAGUUUUACUCAUUGUAACUUGACCAUCUGUGAUAAAGCUACACUCCUCAAUCAAGGCAAGAAAUGUGUGCUAUAUUUCCUAAAAGUGCUGAUUAUGAUUAUAUUAUGUCAUCCUGUUGCAAAGAAAUGGAAAAUACAAUAAAGACUAUUUCGCAUCUUUUAUUAAAAUGAAUUUUCAAUUUUCUUUUAUGUUUGUUGUUACAUUUCCAAGAAUUGGGAUUGAAAAUCUGUUGUAUAUGUAUGCUGGGAAACAACUUUGGAUAAUAGAAUCCAAACUACAGACAAAUUUUCAAAUGAAGUGAUAGUGGCAAAACUUUCAUCUCCUGUCAGAAAUGUCUCAGAAAACAUUAGACAUUUACUAAAGGGGAGAUAAUUUAAGUAAUAUAGUGUAUCAUUCUAUAUAUGACUUAUGAAAGAGCAGCAGUGCUUACCUUAUGACACAUUUCUAUAGCACUUCUAGAUGUUAUUUGUGCUUAACUAUUUAUCAUGACUCAGCUUUAUCACAAAUUACCUUGAAUUCUUUAGGACUUUUUUGCCUAGGAAACCACAUGUAGUUUUCCAUUACAGAGUCUGUUAACAUUCAAGGAUGUGGCUGUGGACUUCUCACAGGAGGAAUGGGAAUGUCUUGACCAUGCUCAGAGAGCAUUGUACAUGGAUGUGAUGUUGGAGAAUUAUAACAAUCUAUUUUUUGUGGGUGGGAGCAUUUCCUUUUUGUUCCCUGAAAUGUUCCAAGUACUUUCUCAAAAAUCUCCUUCCCACAUGUGGGUGUCUGGCUGUCCAGCCAGAUCUGCUCAGCUGUGAAUCAGAACUAAGAGCCCAGGAUGGUGAAGACGGAUACAGGUAUUUUAGGGGAAUUGAACAAGGAAUGGGGUGGUUCUCAAGUGACAGUAGAAAGAAAACAGUACAUGAAAUUCAAUUUGCCAGUUUAUUUUCUCUUUCUCUUUAUACUUAUUAAAAAAAAAAACAGCAUUCUUUUAGGUAUGUACUGACAUAAUUGGAAUGCUCCACCACUGCCUUUUUUUCUUCCUUUACCUAAAAGUUCUUUAUUUCAAAAUGAGAUUCUGGGAAGAAAAUGACUGUGGUGGAGGAGUUUUUCUUUAUAUCUUUAAAAAUACUUAUUAUUUAAGGAUAUGAUUAUCCUCAUAUAAUGUAUGUAAUUAUAUUCACUGCAUGCUCUUUUAGUGAAUGUAUAAGUCUGAGGAAGACACUUGAUUUUGGAACUUUAGUGAGUUGCCAAUGAAGAACAGCAAGUUCUCUUAUUACUAAGCCACAUCUCCAGCCACCAGGCUUUAAUCCUUGUACAUUUGUGAUAGGCCCAGUAUAUGGCAUUUUACCCUGUGCUUUCUAGGAAAACAUAAAGAUAUCAUGAAUAUCACUUGUCUACAUAUUCAAAAAUCCUGUUAGAAAUAGAGUCCAAAUAUUUAAGAAAAGAAAGAAGUUGAAAGUAUAUUUUCACAGUAAUUUGAACUACUGCUGUGAGAGAUAGUACAUUCAAAGGUAAUAAGGACAGAGUAAUUGUCACACAAUUUAAUACAUUGGUUUCACUAACACAAAAUGUUUCUGUUUUAUGGAAUGCAUAAUCAAUUUUAACAUUUAUUUGCACCUAUUUACAGGCAGAUUCAAUACUAUUGUGUUUGUUCUGAAUGAACAUUGUUUUGAAUGUCCUGAAUGACCCUCAGUUCCUAAUCACUCUCAGCUGUGAAGUUUCUCCGAAGUUGACAUUUUUCUGUGUUGUGUUUGCAGACUCUUAGAGACAACGUAGAAGAUAUCAACUGGACAUAACUGAUAUUCCCAUGAACUUGCCAGCUGUGAAGAUACUCUCAUAAAAUGUAUUAUUUCAUACCACUCUUGGGGAGUUAAGGAUGCAGUCAUGUUUUCAUUAUUGUACAUCUGUGACAUUGCAAAAGAUAGUAUUUCAUAGCUCAGAUCUCAAAUCUCUAGCUUUUAUGAUUUCCUAUUACUGGCUGUGCAGACAGAAGUUACUGGUUCUCUGUAUUUGUCCAGUUAUGGUUUUCUGAAAUAAUUUUGUCGUUUGUAAACAACUUGUAUUAUUUUCUAUUUUUAAAAAAUUAUUUUUCACUGGCCUUUCGGGGUUCAUUGGAAAUCUGAGGGGAGGGGCGAAAGAAAGGGGGACAGGAGGCACAAAGUAGGAGAGCAAGUCUGUGUUCUGAUCAAGCUCUCAAACUUAAAUGAAAAAAAAAAGCGACUUAUAAAGACAAGCUGGCAGGAAUGUCACCCAGGGCCCAGGACCAAUUUCAUUACGGUCACCACCCUCCCUAUAGCCCUAAACCAUAAGUUGCGGAUAUAAACUGAUAAGAACAGUUUUUCUAGAGGCAGAAGCUAUAAAAAUGAUAAGAACUAAGAAUGAACAACUGGCUAAGUGUCGCAGAGGGUGUAAAUGGGCUUGACAUUCCUAAAACAUUCCUGGGACAAAGGGUGUGUAAGCCACUUGGCUCUCGCAGUUCUUCCUUAUACAUUGUCAUCAGCAUUAGUUUUUGUUCCUGACCUGGCUGAGAGGAAGCUCAGAGUUUUGUGGAUGAAAAUAUUAUUCACGAUUCAUAGCAUGAAGCACACUUAGUAUAUAAUUACUGGCAGUUUCUCCUGGGUGCAGAGUGCCCACGUCCUCUGGGUCCAUGAUUUAUGGCCCUCAAGAUUCUUCAUUUUCUCCCAUGUUUCUUUUGAAGUAAACCCUGUCAUGGGAAUCUGAAAAUCUUUAUCAAAAGAGAUAGUUUGAAUUCUAUGGAGUAUACUUUUCUGUAUUAAUGAUUAUAUAAAAUAUUGUUUUCAAAAGGAAGACCUAUAUGGUACAUUAGUGCAACAGAAAUGCUGCAGUAAAACAGGGUUGAUAGUUAUUUGUGAUAAGAAAGGGAGCCAUGUCUUGCUGAGUUGAUUCAUUCUUAAGUCUAACAAACUUAUAGAAGGAUGGGCCCUAAAUACAGGUGGACUUUGUAAAAUGCAGUCUAGUUAAGUUUAGAGACCACUGUUGGAUACCAGAAACCAUUGGAAUAAAGAAUGAAUUACUGAUUCAAAUAGCACAUUCAUGUUCCUUCUCUUCUUCAGGGUUAAUAAUCUUGCAUCAUGAAAGGUUGUAUAGUAUAGUUAGUCUGUUCCAAAGGAAACUCUAUGCUGAUGAGCUACAGGAGCAUGUAUGUACCAGAGUAGGUAGGUGUUGUGGUUCUUCCUCAGGAGUUACCAGAUUUGGAGUUUGUGAAGUUUUUAAUUCAGGUGAUAUGGAGCUCAAAAAUCUUGAAACCAGUGGCCCUGACACUCAGCAUUUAGUGUGUCCUGUGGUUCUUGGUGCUUUUCCCUUCUAGAAAAUAUGGAUUUUUCUGUUACUGAUAAAUACUAUUUCCCCUGUUUAAAAAGCAUUCUUGGAAAACUUGUAUCCAAAAAUAUGCUUCCAAAUACACAGUAGUAUUUCUUCUUUUUUUUUUUUUAAAGAUUUAUUUAUUUAUUUUGUAUAUGAGUACACUGUAGCUGUCUUCAGACACACUGGAAGAUGGCAUCGGAUCCCAUUAGAGAUGGUUGUGAGCCACCAUGUGGUUGCUGGAAUUUGAACUCAGGACUUCUGGAAGAGCAGUCGGUGCUCUUAACCACUGAGCCAUCUCUCCAGUCCAGUAGUAUUUCUUCUUAAGUUGUAGUUGGAUAGGUAUUGUUUAAGUUUUGUCAUUAAUAAAUCUUGAUGUUUAAACAUUACAUGGAAUUGGUCACUGAACUGUGAUGAUAAUUCACACACAACAUUACCUUUUUUAUCUCUCACUAUCCCACUACUGUUCUGUCUUUUUUCUUCCCCAUCAUUCCACCUGGUAUUUCAUGUUUGAUUUUUGUGCCACUUUUGUGUAGUUAGGAAAGCUGCCAUGCAUUCAUGAUUGUACCUCUAUGUCAUCUCAGAUGAAAAGGUUUCAUAGUUCAUAUCUCCAACCUCCAGCUCUUACCAUCAUUUAAUAGCUAAUUCAGUAAUGUUCACUAUGAUAUGGAUUUCCCAUUAUAGGCUGUCCAGGCACCAGUCAGUUGUUAUUAUUGGAUCAGUUAUACAUUUCUGAGAUUACUUUGUGUUUUGUAAACAAAGUUUUUGAACCAGUCAAAUAACUGCUUUAAUGUAAACAGAGCUAGUUAAAGGAACCUUCAAUAUUUCUACAUGUAGCAAACUGUGUUCCUUCCUAGAACCCUUGGUCCAGACAUUGGUUUUUGGCAGUGCCCUGACUAUAUUUCCUUCCAUAGCUAGCCUCAGAUCCAAACAAAAUUUCUCCUGUUACUUAGAAAAUAGUCUUGGUUGGAUUACACUAAUGUACAUACUUUGACUAGCUCCUUUAUAUUGAUGCUCACAGGGCCAGCAUCAGACUUUGAUGACUUUUCUCCACAAUCUCACAGAGCAAAUUUUGCCUUUUGAAUAAUACCACCAUGGAGCUUAAGAUAUUUUUAGACACAGUUGAUCAUCUGGUCACUUCUCAGCAUCAUCUUGUAAUGCAGAAAUACAUCAGGCAAUUCACUCUACUGAGGAAUCCUACUAAAGUAAAAAUAUGUCAUUUUUCAGUUGUUAUACAUAAUAAAAGACAUAAAAUCCAUGCUCAAAAAAAAAAAAAGCAAAGCAGGAUAAAUACUAAACCAUUAUGAACAUGAGAAAUGUGUAAAAUUUUGCCUUUAGUAAAUGUUUAAUCUUAGAAAACAUUAAGAAUUUGGACUUAAGCUUGGCCACAGCUCUCUGCUCCCAAACCCGUGAGACAGAGAGCUCACUGCCCAGACAGGUGGACAUUCUUGAGACUGCAGAGCGGGAGAGACCGCCAAUACUGCCCACCCUUGUCCAUAUCCCUGGCCCAAGAGGAAACUGUGUAGGGCCUCUGGGAACCGGAAGAUAGGGGCACUCAAGCAGCAGGUCUCCUGUGCUCCAGACACUGGCUGGAUCUGAAGGGACCCGGUCAACAGCUCCCCGAACCCAAAUACUGUGGGAGGGAGAGCUAAACCUUCAGAGGGACAGACAUGCCUGGGAAGCCAGAACAGACUACACUCAGCCCAUAUUUCUGACUCCAGAGGAAAACGCCUAACGCCAUCCAGGAACCCUGUGCACAGGGUCCCGAGAAAAGGUGGGGCAGGCCCUUCUGGUUGCCGCCCUCAAGGAGAGCUCAAACACAGCUCCCCAGGAGAAACCUUAGGCCCGGGACCAGAGGUAAGACCAACUUUUCUGCUCCAAGUGACCUUCAUGGUGGACUCAGGACACACAGAGGCAAAAUUCCUCUGGGAACGGACACUUCUGGGUUUUUAGCUGGAGCCCAUACCCCGCUGAUCCUGGCCCACAGAUCUCUGCUCCCAAACCCCUUGGGAGAGAGAGCUCAUUGCCCAGACAGGUGGGAACACCUGAGACUGCAGAGCAGGAAAGACUGCCAAUAAUGCCCACCCUUACCCACAUCCCUGGCCCAGGAGGAAACUGUAAGGGACCUUUGGGAACAGGAAGAUGGGGGCACUCAAGCAGCAGGUCCCCGGCGCUCCAGACACCGCCCUGAUCUGAAGGGACCCAGUCAACAGCUCCCUGCACUCAAAUCCCAAGGGAGGGAGAGCUAAACAUUCAGAGGGACGGACAUGCCUGGGAAGCCAGAAGAGACUAAAAUGUGCCCACAUUUCUAACUCCAGAGGAAAACACCUAACACCAUCUGGGACCCCUGUGGGCAGGGUCCCAAAAAAAGGCUGGGCAGGCCCUUCUGGUUGCUGCCCUCAAGGAGAGCUGAAACACAGCGCCCCCCCCCCCCCCAGGAGCAACUUCAGGCCCAGGACCAGAGGUAAAACAAACUUUUCUGCUCCAAGCAAUCUGCCUGGUGGACUCAGGAUACACACCCACAGGAACAGCUGAAGAUCAGUAGACAGAAAAGACUACACGGAUGAAAGCAAAACACUCUGUUCCCAUAACUGGCUGAAAGAAAACAGGAAAACAGGUCUACAGCACUCCUGACACACAGGCUUAUAGGACAGUCUAGCCACUGUCAGAAAUAGCAGAACAAAGUAACACCAGAGACAACGUGAUGGCAAGAGGCAAGUGCAGAACCCAAGCAACAGAAACCAAGACUUCAUGGCAUCAUUGGAGCCCAAUUCUCCCACCAAAGCAAACACUGAAUAUCCAAACACACCAGAACAGCAAGAUCUAGAUUUUAAAUCACAUUUGAUCAUGAUGAUGGAGGACUUCAAGAAAGACAUAAAAAACUCCCUUAGUAAAAAGCAGGAAAACAAAUAAACAAGUAGAAAACUAUAGAGAGGAAUCACAAAAAUCCCUCAAAAAUUCCAGGAAAACACAAUCAAACAAUGGAAGGAAUUAAAAAUGGAAAUAGAAGCAAUAAAGAAAGCACAAAGGGAGACAACCUUGGAUAUACAAAACCAAAGGAAGAGACAAGGAGCCAUAGAUACAAGCAUCAGCAACAGAAUACAAAAGAUAGAAAAAGCAAGAAACUAAUCGUCUUGGCAACAAAACAAAGAGAGGAAAAGAACACAAACAUAAUCCACAUCCAAAUACGAAUAUAACAGGAAGCAACAAUCACUAUUCCUUAAUAUCUCUAAACAUCAAUGCUCCACCAUGUUCAUAGCAGCCUUAUUUAUCAUAGCCAGAAGCUGGAAAGAACCCAGAUGCCCUUCAACAGAGGAAUGGAUACAGAAAAUGUGGUACAUCUACACAAUGGAAUAUUACUCAGCUAUCAAAAACAAUGACUUCAUGAAAUUUAUAGGCAAAUGGGUAGAAAUGGAAAAUAUGAUCCUGAGUGAGCUAACCCAAUCACUUAAAAACACACGUGGUAUGCUCGCACUGAUAAGUGGAUAUUAGCCCAAGUGCUUGAAUUACCCUAGAUGCACAGAACACAUGAAACUCAAGAAGGAUGACCAAUAUGUGAAUGCUUCACUCCUUUAAAAGGGGAACAAGAAUACCCUUGGCAGGGAAUAGGGAUGCAAAGUUUAGAACAGAGGCUGAAGGAAUGCCUAUUCAGAGCCUGCCCCACAUGUGGCCCAUAUAUAUAUAUACACAGCCAUCAAACCUGAUAAGAUGGAUGAAGCAAAGAAGUGCAUGCUGACAGGAACAGGAUAUUCAUCUCUCCUGAGAGACACAGCCAGAAUUCUGCAAAUACAUAGUCGAAUGCCUGCAGUGAACCACUGAACUGAGAAGCAAUCAGAGAAAGGACUGAAAGAGCUUGAAGGGGCAUGAGACCCCUUAUGAGCAACAAUGCCAACCAACCAGAGCUUCCAGGGACUAAGCCACUACCCAAAGACUAUACAUGGACUGACCCUGGGCUCCAACUGCAUAUGUAGCAGUGAAUAACCUAGUAAGAUCACCAGUAGAACGGAAGCGCUUGGUUCUGCCAAGACUGAACCCCCAGUGAACGUGAUUGUUGGGGGGAGGGUGAUAACGGGGGGGGGGGGAGAUUGGGAAGGUAACACCCAUAUAGCAGGGAAGGAGGAAGGGUUAGGGGGAUGUUGUCUUGGAAACCGGGAAAGGGAAUAACAAUUGAAAUAUAAAUAAGAAAUACCCAAAUUAAUAAAGGUGGAGAAAAAAAAAGAAUAAAAAAAGAAUUUGUACUUAAAUAUUCUGUACUCUUUUUGGCUAAUGUCCACUUAUUAAUGAGUAUAUACCAUGCAUGUCCUUUUGGGUCUCAGUUACCUCCGUCAGGGUGAUAUUUUCUAGUUCCAUCCAUUCACCUGCAAAACUCAGGAUGUUCUUGUUCUUAAUAACUGAGUAGUAUUCCAUCAUGUAAAUGAACCACAUUUUCUGUGUCCAUUCUUCUGUCGUGGGACAUCUGGAUUGUUUCCAGCUUCUAACUAGAACAAAAAUGAACAUAGUGGAACACAUGCCCCUGAGGCAUGGUGGGACAUCUUUUGGGUAUAUUUCCAAAAAUCGUUUUGCUGGGCAUUCAGGUAGAUCUAUUUCUAAAUUUCUGAUGACUCUACAGAUUGAUUUCCAGAGUGGUUGUACCAACUUACAAUCCCACCAACAAGGAGGGGUAUUUCUCUUUCUCCACAUCCUCACUAGCAUCUGUUUUUGAUAUUAGCUAUUCAGACUGGUGUGAUGUGGAAUCUCAGGGCCAUUUUGAUUAGCAUUUCUCUGACCACUAAGGACUUUGAACUAUUCUUUAGGUGCUUCUCAGCUAUUUGAGAUUCCUCUGGUGUGAAUUCUUAGUUUAAUUCUAUACCCCAUUUUUUUUCAUUGGGUUGUUUGUUUUCUUGGUGGUUAGCUUCUUGAGUUCUUUAUAUAUUUUGGAUAGUAGCCCUCUACUGGAUGUGGGGUUAGUGAAGUUUUUUUCUCAAUCUGUAGGGUGCUGAUUUGUUUUAUUGGCAAUGUCCUUUGCCUUACAGAAGCUUUCCAGUUUCAUGAGGUUCCAUUUAUCAAUUCUUGAUAUUCAACCAUGAGCCAUUAGAGUUCUGUUUAGGAUAUGUUCCUCUGUGCCAAUGGUUGAAUUAGGGAAAAGUUGGAAGAAGCUGAGGAGGAGAGCAACCCUGUAGUAGGACUAGCAGUGUCAAUUAACCUGGACCCAAGAUCUCUUAGACACUGGACCACCAACCAGGCAGCAUACACCAGCUGUUAUAAGGCCUCCCACACAUAUACAGUAGAGGACUGCCAGGUCUGGGUUCAGUCAGAGGAUAUGCACCUAACCCUCAAGAGACUGGAGGUCCCAGAGAGUUUAGAGUUUAGAGUUCUGGUGGGGUAGGGGAUAGGGGAAUGAGGGGGUGGGGAUAUCCUCUUGGAGACAAGGGACAAGGAAUAGUUAUGGGAUGAGGAACAGUCCAAGGGUGGACCAGAAGGGCAGUAAAAUCUGGACUGUUAAAAAAAUUAAAUUAAUAAAAAGAAUUUGUACUUAAAAAAACUGCUCAAGUGUAACAAUGUAGAAAUGUAUAUCAUAAAAUUAUUUUAUUGAUUCCCCCUGAAAAAACAACAACAACAACAAAAAAAAAAACUACAAAGAGAAAAUCUGUAAGGACAAAAUGAGAGAAACACGAAGGAUUUGACUAAGCCUUCAAAUUAACACAAUCUUACUUUAUUUUGGAAAAUUCAUACUGGAGAUAAAUAAUAUUAAUGUACAUAGUUGUGCUAUGUUCAUGUCUAUUUUUACAUUACAAGUUCAAGUCUAGAGAGGCAAAAAAGAUGGCUCUGUUGGCAGGCAUGGGGCUGAAAGAUUAAAACCACCCCUCCUAGCAAUCUCAAGUACAUCUACUAACCAGGGACCAGGAAGUCAAACAGGAGUGUAUAGAGCCUGUAAAAUGUAAAUUACCCCAUUCCACUUUCAGUCCAGGAAGACCUGUAGCAAUUUUUAUUGAAAAAAUACACUCACACUGAAUACUCAAUAGUCCCCAUGUUCUUUCAUUGUCUCAACAGGAUUUUUAAGAAUAAAGUUGAGGUGAGAUUCAAAACAAUCAUUUAACUGUAACCCUGUUGGUGCCCUCAACGACAUGGUACUGAGAGCCGGGCAGAGGCCUUCGAGGUUUAAGAAAAAAUAUAUACUCAGUCAUUCAUGUCAAGAGAAUGCCAAAUCUUUUGCUUUAUUCACUGAAUAUAUACCCCAAGUUCACCAUGUGGAAAAUUCCAGGAAGCACAGUGGGAAAACCUGCUUAAGCCCUCAGGAACAAAGAGGAACAAAAGACAGGAACCAAUUAUCACCCAGGUGUACCACCCAGGUGUGUCACUUCCGGGCCAGGGCGUUCCUUUGUUAGGAACACAAGGCUUCUACAUGAAUCAGCAGGGCUUCAGCAGGGGUCAAACACUGUAGGGGACCCAGGAGAGUCCGACAUAACCCCCUCUAAAAAGAAGACAUAUUUCCAACAUACCAUGGAAUAGAAUAAUGUAUAUUACCAUACCACAAUACAGUAAAUUGGACAGAGUGUGGAAAUAUUGCAAAUCAGGACCACAAACCAGCAAGGCAAGUCCAAAUCCUGUAUCUCCACAGUUGGUAGAAAAUGACUUAGAUGUCUCUUGCAUCCUUGCUUUGCUGAAUUCUCUCUAAUGGGCUAGUUUGACUCUCUCCCACCCCUUUUUAAAAUCUCUUUUUGAUAGUUAUCCCAAGGGUCUAGAAUCUCCAAUAUCUUGGAGUCUCUAAGUCAUUCUAUGAUUCACCUUCACAGCUCUACACAAAGGUCUAUCUAGUCUUCACACAGGGACUCCUUUGUCAUAUUCCUGGCCUCAGAGGGUGUUCUUGACUGCAGUACAAGAUUGCACAUCUCUGGUCCUACACCUCUAUUGAUUGUCAAUCCAGAACCAGAUGGCUAAAACUACCAAGUUCUGAUGCUGCUUGGCUGAAACUGAUCAUUAAAGGUGGUUCCUUAAUUUUUCGUUUCUAAUGGUGCUAGCUAAAGGUUUGGUUUUUUUUUCUCCCAUACUACUGUUAGUUUACUUCUUUGCAGAACAUAGGAUGCAGAGCCAGCAGACCUAUAGUUUCCAUAUCAGGUUACAGACCACUGAAAGGUAAAAGUUUUAAAGUUGCCCCCCCUAGACACAAAGUUUAGAGCAGAAAAAAAAAACAGGUUAGGCCCCAAAAUUGUAUGUUCCAAGCCUCUCCUAGGGCUAUAGAAUGGGUAACUACAUUGGCCGGCUCAACAGCUUUCUCCCAGAAACUAGCUGACCAUAAAUCUUAGAGAACAAUCUUGAGAAGCAGGAGACAGCUUCUCCUAGGAAACAAUCUUAAAAAACAGAGAGUUUUUCCUAAGAAACAUGACAUCAUCCCUGCCCCCUCGGGUUGUGGUUUCUCCCUUUAAAUACCUCUUCGCCCAGCCGGGUCGGACUCCACUGCCCCAGUGCACUGGUUGCUAUCGAUAAACCUCAUGUGAUUACAAGGACAGUGUUGUGUGAGUUCUUGGGGGAUAACGUCAUGCUGAGAUUUGAGUGAGGGUCUCCCCACUCAGGGGGGUCUUUCAACCACCACAGCCAGCUGAGUGAAGAUCCCUUUCAGCAACAAACAAGAAAUUUAAAGUAUAUUUUUCACAUUAAUUUAAAAUCCUGAAAAUUGUUCCUUUUGAUACAAUUAUAGUGUGAAUAUUAGAAGACAGAUUGUAUUGGUUUAAAUGUCCCCCAAUGGCUUAUGUAUUUGGACUGUAUGCCCCACAUUGGUCACAAUGUAAUUGGUACUUUCACUAGUGUUCAGCUCAGAAAGAAAAACCCCACAAAUCUAUUUUACUCGCUUCCUCCUUAUUGAUUGAGAAGGAGGAUGUGAAUUCUCAGCUUUAUAUUCCACCAACAUGGCUGCCUUAUGUAAGCACAUUCUGCAGUGUUGAACUGUUUUCACUCUUGAACCGUCAGUCAAAAUAAACUCUCUGGUUUCAGUCUCAUUUUGUUUUUUAAAUUGCCUUGGUAAUGCUGCAUUAUGGAAGCAAUAGGCAAGUAUCCCCUCCCAAAAACAAAACAAAACAAAACAACAAAAACAACAACAACAACAAAAACUUUUCAGAUUGGAUUUAAGGCUUCUUUUCAGAGAUCAAAUUCAAGUCAGAUUCUGAAACUUGAUCAGGAACAGGUAGUAUGAUAAGUCAUGGGAACUAACCAUUGUUUUUCUAAAAAGUACCAAUAGCAAGUCUCCUUUCAAAGACUUGAUUGCAUUCAAAGUAAACUGUGGUGCUAUGCUAUCAUCAGUGAAUGCUAUUAUUGUCAUGCAUAGACAUUAGUACAGAAAAUCAUAAUGGGUCGAACUGGGAACUAAGGUGGACAUCUGUAUUAUCCCCAACAAGGCUCAAGAAAUGCCUACAUCAGUAUGAGCCUUUCUUUUAGAACUUAUCUACUUAUCUAUGAAAAGGGAAUAUCAUUCUUCAUCUAAAAUGAGGAAUAUGAUUGAAGAGGUAAAAGUGGUAUGAAUCAAGGGACUUGUGGUGUUAUGGUUUCUGACCUGAAGAACUCUAUUUUUAAUACUAUAAGGGACUGAGAAUAUCUCUCCCAAACCUUCUGUGUGUUUUUCUUUUAUGUUUUUGAGAUAUCUCAUGCCCCCCUUUUACAACAUUGGAUUGGAUGUCCUAACCUUGCCACACUGUAUUAUAGUCUUUGCUAAUACUACACCAUUCCCAUUUCCUGAAAUGCUUGUGUGAAAGAUGUAUUUCUUAAUAACCUACUUUUUUUUAAAAAAAGGAUGUAUUUAUUUUAUGUAUGUGGGUACAAUGUCACUGUCUUCAGACACACAAGAAGAGGGCAUCAGAUCCCAUUACAGAUGGUUGUGAGUUACCAUGUGGUGCUGAAAAUUUCACUCAGGCCCUCUGAAAGAGAAACCAGUGCUUUUAACCUCUGAGCCAUCUCUCCAACCCCUUAAUAACCUAUUUUCAUAUUUUAUUUAUAAAAUUGUGGAAUGGAUCAACCUGAGCUUAGACUGCUAUAGAGGGCAGAGCUGUAAAGUGACACUAGCCCUUUGGGGGAUCCCAGAAGAUUCUGUGUAGAUCCCAGACAAUGACUCAAGAAGCUGUAGCAUUGAAAAUUUCUUUGGAGACCCCAAGAUGUUCAAGAUGCCAGGGUCAUGGGCUCUCUGCUGAGGAAAGCUGCUAACAGGGAGUGAAACCAACCCAGGAGAAAGAAGUUUGUUGCAGUCAACAAAGAUGAAAAAGGAGUUGAAGAUCUGAUGACUGUUUUCACAUCAGACAUGGAGAUGCAGAGUUUAGAGUUUGCCCAGAUGGUUCCUUGCCUUGCUUUUGGGGGUUACAGUUAAGUAAUUGAAUGAAUAUCAGAAGAGACUUUGAACUUUGGACUUUUAACAUUGUUGAGACCGCUAUAGACUAUGGGGACUUUUGAAGUUGGACUAAACGGAUUUUUUAUUAUGAUAUGUUUAGGCAUGCUACCCCAAUACACUCAUAUGUUUGAACAAGGAUAUGUGGGCCAGGGAAUUGAAUGUGAUGGUUUAUAUAUGCUUAGCUCAGCGAGUUACACUAUUAGAAAGUGUGACCCUGUUGGAAUAGGUGUUUCACUGUGGGUAUGGGCUUUAAGACCCUCUUUCUAGCUGCCAGGAAGUCAGUAUUCUGCUAGCAGCCUUCAGAUGAAGAUGUAGAACUCUCAGCUCCUCUUGUACCAUGCCUGCCUGGAUGUUGCCAUGUUCCCACCUUGAUGAUAAUGGACUAAAUCUCUGAACCUGUAAGCCAGCCCCAAUUAAAUGUUGUCAUUUAUAAGA